rnacentral:tRNA from 1 species
GGGCGUUUAGCUCAGUGGUAGAGCGACUCGUUUACACCGAGUAGGUCCGGGGUUCAAUCCCUCGAACGCCCACCA